rnacentral:lncRNA from 1 species
UCUCCUUAGGUAAUCCUGGGCUUUUCAUCCAUUCUUUCACCAGACACAUUUCGAUUGCAUGUGCAGGGAGAAGUAUAAAUGUUUUGCUUGCUGUUGCUUAAAGUUCAUUUGAACAGACGGAGCUCAAUGAAUUCCAUCUUCCGCAGCCAAAUUAAAUAGAAAACAGUGCAUUCUUAAGCAGUUCACACUUAACUCCACCUCUCAAAUCAGAGGAAAAAGCUGACGUGAAACCAGUUAAAGAACAGUCAUCCUCUCUCGCACGGAAAUCAAGACAUUGUGUUUCUGAAGCCAGACAGAAGGAAAAGUGGUUUCCAAUUAUGUGGGGGGCUCUAUAUCAACUUCACCAGCAUAUAUGGAUACUGGGGAAUAAUUGUGGGACAGUAAAGGCUGGCUGCACCAUGCAAUAAAAAUCAAUGAAGCAAGAUGCUGGUUGAUUUGUGGUUGUGGCUGAUUUACAAAGUCCUUCUCCCUGGUAAUUUACUAGAUCAAGGUAGCUUCUAUAAACCCAACCUGAAUGAAUAUGGAGUAAUACAGGAUUUGAGUUCCUGAGAUCUCCUAGACAUAAAAGAAGGAAGCAAGGUAAGAACAGGGAAUGGGUACCCAUGGGAGUAGCCCACUGUAAAAAUGGACUUGUCUUCUCUGAAUCUUAUUUGAUACCCACUGUUUUCCGCUGAGGUUUAUGUAGCUUGUUUGAUUACAGAUCUUUGUCCCCAGAUUUCUUCUCCACCCCACCUUUCUUUUCAUACACAGACCCUUGGACUUCUAUAAUGGAAUGGUACCACCCCUAAGAAAGAGUCUGAAAAAUGAACUAGCGCAGUGAAAACCCCCAGUAAAUGUUAUGCAAACUUAUCAUGAGUUAAGCCAGAAGUACAAAUUUGCUACAUUGUGGAAAGGCUAUAAAAUAGCAAUUUGUCUUACUGUAUGUGCAAUUUUAAUGUAUUCCAAAGCAUGUGUAUUGUCUAUUUCUAUUACCCAGAUCAUUCAAACUUUUAAGUGCAAAGUAAAUAUAAAGCGUUGCCUUUUUAAUAAUAUGCAGUUGUAGCAUAUGCUUUUCUUGUUUUCCACCUCCAGUGUGGACCAGAAACACAUAAUUGCUGCUUUUACUCAUGUUAUCUGAUCAUUACACAAAACAUGAACCUGUUUGAGAUUACUUUAUAUUUUUACAAUUAUUAUUGUUAACAGCUACUUUCACUAUUCUGGAAACAAUUGAGAAUUUUAGUAGGUAAUGGGUUAUAUUUCUUAAUACUUUACAUACAAAGUAAAAAGGAAGGUGGAAAGUUUAACUUUUUCCCUUCAAAUUUGUAUAAAACUGCAACCACCUUUCAUAAAAUUACCAAUAUAAUCACUACAUAAGAAUGCAUAAAGUGCUCUUGGGUUCUCGUUUUUCAGAUAUGUAGUAACUGAAUGUAUUUUUCUAUAUAUUCUUUCCCUAUUUUAUUUCUGAUAUAAAAGAAGUAAAUAUUUUAAUCUAUACAAGUCAUUUACAUUCAAUAUUGUAACACAUUUGCUUCACUGAUUUAUCAAUUUGCUCAAUCAACAAACACCUUCUGAGUACCUACCAUGAUGAGGCACUGUGAUAGAGGCUAAGAAGAUAUGAAGAUGAAAAUGACCCAGUCAUUGGUCUCAAGUCUCGUAACAUAGUAUCAGCUCACAAUUUAGGAGAGUUAAGCAUACGACCCAGCAAUGCCACUUCUGGACAUAUACUCAAAAGAAAUGAAAGCACAGUCUCAAAGAGACAGUAUGUGCAUGUCCAUGUUCACUGCAGCAUAAUUCAGAAGAACCAAGAGGCAGAAGCAACCUUCCAUCAUGAAUGAUGAUGAAUGAAUGGAUAAAUAAAAUGUGGUGUAUAUAUAUGGCAUAUAUAUAUAUAU